GUUUAUGUAGCUUAAUGGUAAAGCAAUGUACUGUUAAUACAUCUAUUUUGGUUCAAUUCCAAACUUAAACG
rfam:Pichia farinosa complete mitochondrial genome, strain CBS7064